rnacentral:lncRNA from 1 species
ACAUACCGGACCAGCAUUGGCCCUACACGGGGCAAUUCAGGAGAGUAUGGACAGGAAGUAUUUCCCCUUUUCCUGCUCUGGUUCGUCUGAACUAACAAUAAAUUCUACGGUUUGAAAAAUGCAACCAUGGUGUGCGCGGUACAAGAACAUUUGUUGACUAUUUUCGCCCAUAAUAAAGACUUUUGCAAGUAUUUUACUUUAUAAUAACAGAUUUUCUAUAUUAUGAGAAGAUGAAAACCAAUACCCAGAUUUUUGCAACGUGACAAAAUGUUGUCGAAGCAAGAGACAAUUAUUCUUCAUUUAGCUAUGGAUGAACCAUCAGAGAGUCUUUCGGUUCUUUUGUCAGCCUUUUCCAUGUAAUCUUGAUGAGAUUGGUGUUUUGCUCCUGAAAGGAAAAAAUAGAAAAUAAAAUUUUUUCAAGUCGCUGUUUCAUUAUAAGCAGCAUAUAAUAAUCUUGAAAAGAAGGAUACAUGCACAAAAUAUGAAAGAUCCUUGCAGAAAACCAUGAGAUAUCGGUUACAUCUUUCAAAAUUUUGUUUCUGUUUUCUUUUCUUUUCAAUUCAAGUUCUUUUGUAUUUGUUUUCUUUGUGGUGGAGAGGAAGAGGUGAAGAUAGCAACAUGAAGAGCUCUGAACCAAAUCAGUUUCAAAUUAUACCCAAAUGAGUCUGAUAAAACCCAUUUAUAAGAAUGUACACACCCUAAAGAACAGAGGAUUGGGUCAGACAAAGGAGUAGAUAAUGACAACGAAUAUGCCUCCUUCAACUGAGGCAACAGUUUUAGAAGACCUUCUCGGUUGUAUUUAUGCACUCGUGUUAUUUUGGGCCACUCUCAGCAAACUUGCAGCGUGCAAACAAGUCCAAAAUUGAAUUAUACAUGAAUGAGCACAUUCACAAAUCAAAUAUUUCAAGUGCAGGAAUUCCCUCAACCAAGCCAACCUCAAUCGAUCCACUGACCACAGUUACGUAAUCUGAUUCAUGAGAUAGGCAUCUAAUCUUUAUAUUUUAAAACCAAUGUAGCUUUAGUAAACAGUAAACACCAACUCAGCUUUUACAAUUAAUAAACAUGAAGCAAUUAAGGCCCCUUAGUUUGCAAAGGAAGAUCCCAUGCUUAUCGGGAUUUAGAUAAGCCAUAUAUAUAAGAAAAAUCAGAGUAAUGCCAAAACCAACAGGAAGAAGGACCAAGUCACAGUGAGAUUUCACUUGGUCUCACUCAGCAUUUAUCGCAUUUUUCCUUUCCUUCCUGGCCGAGAAAAGAAAGGUGCCAGCAUUAUUUUCUCUACCUCUCUCCAUCCUUCUACAUUUCUACACAUCUCACACUACUUAAGGUCCUCUCCCUCCCGAGUCAUGACCACAAACUCUUUUUUCAACUCCCCCUACUCUUGGCUAAGUAUCAUUAUACCUAAAUAGAAUGACAGUGUCACUCUUAUACAACCCCCCCUUGGGCUACUAUUUUACUUCACUAUUGUUCUUAGCAUUCCCCCCACCCCACCCCACCCCCCCUCUUCGAGGGGAAACUGGAUUGUUCAAAUAUAGAGAAAGUAUAGUCUUUUGCGUUCACUGUUAUUUUAGAAGUUUGGAGAUUAUCAAUACAAAAUAAAGCAUCAAACUCUAAAAUUGGGCGCCGACCUCGAUCACCAUUCACCAAAGAAAUAAAUUGAUUAUAACCUUUCAAAAGAAGUAAAGACUUCUGUGAUAAUAUUUCGUGCAUAUGCAUCAAGCUAAUUGGGCAGCUCAAAGAUCAUGCACUGCUUAUUCAGGAUUGCAGAUGUGACUUUGACUUACUUCCAACAAAAUUGUUUCAGAUAACAUUGUCAUAAAAGUGUAUUGACGAUGAUAAAUUUAUUUCACAAGGCGUUCUUGCCUCGCUCUCAUGGUCUUAACUACCAUUCAAAUUGAACUAUUCAUUUAAAAAUAGCCAUCAAAUAAAAUACUGCAAAAGUAACAAGAACAGCUUCAAAUAUCAAAAUAUUCAUUCCAACUGAUACUAAUCAUAGAAUUAUUCCCAAAAAUCCAGCUUUGUUAAAUAUAUUUUUUAAAAUUUCCUUCCGUCCAACCAAAACUCCUCUCAUAAAUUUCAUUUCUGGUAGCAGUAUUAGAACUCAGUAACGAACCAAUAGCCACACAUAUAUUAAUUGCAUAAACAGAACGCAGCAGCUCCGCAAAGAAGUGCCAAAUUUUAACCAAAUUUUCAGAUUCACAUUAAAAACAGUGAAAAAUGAGGAUACCCAAAACCCAUAUCGAUCUCACGAGUCUUAAAAAAAUGUUUAAAGAAGACAUACCUGAGUUUUAACCAAAUUUUCAGAUUCACAUUCAAAACAAUGAAAUUGAUAAACUUAGCGGAAUACAACUCUGAAAUAGGUAAAGUUACGAAAAUCA